rnacentral:rRNA from 1 species
GACGAACGCUGGCGGUGUGCUUAACACAUGCAAGUGGUGCGACGAACCAGAGCUUGCUCUGGGGCAAAGCCGCGAACGGGUGAGUAACACGUGGGUAAUCUACCCCGAUGACCGGGACAACCCGAGGAAACUCGGGCUAAUACCGGAUGUGGUGCGAAGACAUAAGUCUCUUCACUAAAGGUAGCUUCGGCUUCCGCAUUGGGAGGGGCCCGCGGCCCAUUAGCUUGUUGGUGGGGUCAAGGCCUACCAAGGCAACGAUGGGUAGCUGGUCUGAGAGGACGAUCAGCCACACUGGGACUGAGACACGGCCCAGACUCCUACGGGAGGCAGCAGUGGGGAAUCUUGCGCAAUGCGCGAAAGCGUGACGCAGCAACACCGCGUGAGGGAAGAAGGCCUUAGGGUUGUAAACCUCUUUCAGAUGGGACGAAGGUUCUCCGGUGAAGAGCCGAGAGGAUUGACGGUACCGUCAGAAGAAGCUCCGGCUAACUACGU